AGGGCUUUCACUUUAUCAAAGAUAUAAUUUCUGAAAAACAAUAGAAUAAACUCAUCCAAUAUAAAGACGAGGAGAAUUUACUGACCAGAGGGGACAUUUUUUCAAACAUCUACAAAGAAGAAGAUGUGGUAUGAUCUGCUCUUUUGUGAUCUAGAAUGUAUAAAAAAUCUUAGUUUUAGCAAAGAAUAAGAUGACUGAUUGAAAUACAACAUGAAUGCACCUGUAUUUGGAAGAAUAAAACAUACACAAACAAUGUACAAAAAAUUAAUAAUUGGUAUAUGGCAUCUCCCUGUUUUCCAUCCUUCACAAACCUCAAGCUUAUAUCACAGUCAAAUUAUGUCUCAAAAUGUCACAACUAUAAACUAAAUAAAAUAUUUUACAAUAAAACACAUGAAAACAUACAAAUAUGAAUAUAUGAUUGACGACCUGUGUAAACAUGAUUUUGAUAUAAGUCACAUGUCAACCUACUUUCAAUCUGGAAAGAUAAAUAAAGUCAGAAUUUAUAUACAUCAAGUACUUCUGGAAGUACUUUCCAAAAACUACAAUUUCAUCCAGAAAAGUUAUCUACAUUGUAGUGUAUAUCAUACAUAGUAUAUAUAUGAAAAAUAAAUAGAUACAUCAUAAUGAAAUGUUUGUGAUACAUUGUAUAUCAUUUGAAAAACAAGGAUGUGUCCAUAGUACAUGGAUGCCCCACUCAUACUAUCAUUUUCUAUGUUCAGUGGAAUUGGGUUCAAAAAUCUAAUGUGACAAUGAAAUAUGAAAAAUCGUAUCAUAGGAAAGAUGUGAAUUAAGUUUCAGGUUGAUUGGACCAGAAAACAUUAUGCCUACAAAUUGGGCAUAAAAACAAUGGCGAAAAAUUUGAAAUGGAAAAUUUUGAUCUUAUGUACAUCCAGUUCUACGACAGGAUAGUAAUCACUUAAAGGAUCUCAUUAAUGAUACACAGAGAAUAUAACAAAUGAUGAUGGUUAUGUCUUUAAAAAAAUUUGUUAAAAUGUAUGAAUUAUGAAAUAUUCAAUUCUCACUAAAUAAGUUAAAUUAGUUCAACCCUUAAUAACACCUAGUUAUAUCAGAAACAAGUUCUAUAAUGCAACAUAAUUUUUGAAUUACAGCAGAUUCCAUUGAGUGUGUAGCCAUAGGUGAUAUCUUUGGUUAGCUUGCUUGUUAGCUGAACCGUGAAGUCAUUGUUAGGUUAAGUAAACUACCCUACUUUAAGAAUAGACUAGUCCGACAGAAAACCAAUCGAUCUAUCUGUUGGACUAAGCUCCUUCGAAAGGAGGGUAGUAUACCUGACCUAAUAAUGCCUUCACAGUUCAGCUAACAAGCAAGCUAACCAAAUAUAUUACCUUUCGCUACACACUCAAUGGAAUCUGCUG
rnacentral:lncRNA from 1 species